CUGCUGCCGCCUCAGAACCUCGUAUGAGCCCCGCGGUGUGGUAGCUCCUGUGUUGACGUUUUUGUUUUGGGAAGAGGUUUGGUUCUUUUGAAGUUAGUGUCUUUUGGGUCAGUGAAAAGUGUGGGGGUCCGAAGGACGUCCCGCGUUCAGCCGAGGACUCGCAUCCCAGGGCCGAGAAUGUCUGGUGCGAGUCCUGGCCGCUGCACGCCUGCGGGCGCUUCCGCGGGGCGCCUUUGGCUCGUGGCUUCCGAAGUUGCUCUACGUUGGGCCUGGGCGGCAGUAAUCACGCCCUUAGGGGUUAACUCGGCUCUCCAGGGCGCACGCCGCGGGAGGGCUCCGCGCCCUUCGUGGGGUUGGCACCGCUUCUCCUGGAAGCUCAGCUCCAGCGGUGACUGUGUGAGGAAGCCUGCGUGGCUUCCUGUCCCACCGAUCGACAGGGUUUCCUCUGGCUGACAGCUCGGACAACCUGAAAGGAGAGGAGCGUGUAAUGCCAAACUGGGUCUCUCUUCUGUUUAAACCCUUAAAAAUUCCUAUCCCCUACAGGGCAGAGUACAGUGUUUUCCAGAGCUCUCUGGGAACCUCAGUGACCUGGCCCCAGUCGCUUUCCACCCUCAACUCGGGCUGUUUUCCUGCUGGACAUACCCCACAGCCUAGUCUCCCAGAGAGAGGUCCUGCUUUGUCUCAUUCUCUCUAGCAGCUAGAAGAGUGUUGUACACACGGUAGAGACUGAAUUAAUGCUUAUCAAAUAAAUGUUAAUGAAUUUUGAUGACAUUAUCCAAAAGCUUUAACAAUCCUCCACGGGUGCAUGAGGCCCCGUAUAGAGAGGUUAGAGUCAGCCACAGAUAUGGAGUCUUAUGAGUAUUUGAAUGAUAAUAAUUAACAUUUAACAAUCAUCCAUUGUCAGCAUUGGCAAGAUGUUUGGGUAAAGGGCAGACACUUGGGUGGGGUAAUCAGUAAUGGCUGGAAUUUCAUGGCUGUUUGGAAUAGACUUGAUACUUUCCACCUCUUUCCAUGGAACCAAUUAUAGUGAUUGAUUCCUAACAUCCAUUUUACUCCAAAUAAUUAGUCUUAGCCCCAGCCAAUGGUUUCAGCAUGGACAUGUGACCCAAUCUUGGCCACAAAAUGUGAAAGGAAGCUUGCUGGGUGGCUCUGGGAAAGGUAUUCUCACUUCUAAGAGGUACAAAGAAGAUGGAUCCUUUCUCCUUUUGGACAUUGUGGUGUCUAGGUGUGAGGCUCGGAACAGCUGCACCCAUAUUUUGAGCAUGAGGGGAGCCAGCAUGACUGCAAGGCCAACACACUGAGGACAGCAGAGCGGAGGUGGAAAGAACUAUGGCCUUUGAGGACAGCUUUGAGGCCAACCAUGGUGUCCACUCAACCUCUGCUCUUCCAACUCUGUGAGACAGAUUCUCCUUAUUGUUUAAGCCAUUUUGAGUUUGGUAAGCUGUUCUGUUACAUCAACUGAAAGCAUCCUGAUUCAUCCAGGCUGACUUCCUGGUAGGAAGUUAAAAUUUUUACAUGUUCGUAAAUCACAGAGAAACAACCCGGAAGGAAAGAGUUUCUAGGCAGGCAUGCAGCUUGUUGAGAACGCUGGAGCAAGAGAACUUUGUCACAAGGUUGUGGAGGGAGAACUGUUGAUCAGCCUGGGGAAACCUCCUGAAGAACUUUCAAGUGGAUUGAAAACUCGUUAGGUCCUGGGAACCUACGUUAAGACUUUGCAGACAUAUGUGGACCGGCCAAAGAAGCCAGAGACGAUGACUAGAGUGUAGGCCCCACAGUUGGGGUGGUAGAGAAGGAAAAGCCUGGGUAAAUGGUGUUUCCUUGGGGAGAAGUCCUUUGCGUCUAGAAUAGUGAUGGAAUCAGCAGUUCUCCCUAAGAACUCAGCGGCACACUGUAAGAGUCUUCUGUCUGGAAUGGGUUCCUGUCCUGAAACAUACGUGAAUCCAAGGAAUUUAAGGAACUUGUUCCUUGGCUUCAUGCUCUGUUCUAGCCCAGUGUCCCCUUACACCUCUGGCCACUCCUUAGUCUCCUUCGUGGCUUACUUUGACUGCCCCUGAACAUAUUCCCCAAGGUUCUUACUCUGCACCAGCACCUGGGUAAUACUACUCACUCCCCUGGCUUCAGUUACCACCUAUAUGCUGACAGCUCUGAAAUCUCUCUCUCCUAGUUGUCUCUUGAGGAGACAGGCCCCUGCCAUUAAAAUUUCCCAUAAGCACAUCACAUUUAAGACAUGUAAACUAAACUCAUUACAUCCACCUCUUCCAGCCUUGUUUCUUCUCUCAAAAUCUCAGUGAGCACUGUUAACUAUCUUCUAUUAUCCAGCCUACCGUGUAACACUCCACUUAGACAUCCCUUCCUCCAGGAAGCCUUCCUAUCUCCUGCAUUUGGUGCCCCUCGGCAUCUUCUACCUAACUUUGUCGUGCUACUUACCAUAUGUUAAAAUUCCUAGUUUCCCUGUCUCCUCUACUAGAGUAUAUAAGCUUUGCAAGACGAUCUUGUUAUACUGCUUUAUGCACAGCUCCUAGCACAUCAUAGGCAUUAAAUAUGAAUGAAUACUAAUAUAUUCUUUAUACCCAGUGUCUAACACAUCUGAAUGAAUAUGAAAAUAUUCUUCUGGAUGCAAGCAAUGUAUUUACUUGUUCCCAACCUAAAAGCUCUAUCCAGAACCGACUUAAGAGCAAAAAUUGAGAUUAUUGCUUGCUUUUGUUGUGUUGCCACACGGCACCUGUGUCCUCGUUAUAGGUGUUCAUUAAUGUCUACUCAAAGCUAUGUACGGGCCAGAUGGGGACUAUGAAUAAUGAAUAGGCAAAAGAAGAGAAGAGAAUCAUUUUAAAAAUUACAUCUGGUUCUAAGAUCAUAUGCUGCUUGGACUGGUGAGUGAGUGGGUGAGUAGCCACCAUAAUCUCCAAGUGCGAAUGAGGGGCCCGUUAACAGCAGUGCUACCGAGCCAGUUUCUCCUGAAGCAGCCUUGCAAUUGUUCUUGGUUGUUUCACAAACAGCGUUGUGGGAGUCCAGGGCAGAUUUUAGCCAGAAGGCAGAAUUCACCAACCUACCACGUAGCAAACUCCCUUGUUGGUCUGGAGGGAGCAAUCACCAAAGCGGACUGGCCACAGCCAGAGUUUGCAGUGUGCUUCUUACCACAGGGAUAGCCAACACUCCCUUGGCACAGCUCCCCCAGGAUGGGUCCAGAUCAAAGGUAAUGACAUUAUCCAGGGUUGUAAGAAGUGUUAAUUAUAACCAUGGGAAUAGAUGAACUCCCAUGGACGACACGUCAUCAGAGAGGAAGGCAAUGAUGAGUACAGGGGACAAACUGCAUUAACGAGAAAUAAGGAACACCUGAGAGAAAACUGUCAAAGACUGGCUUGGCAUUGUUUGCAAGUGUCCCAGAAACUAGAGUGGUCAGUUGCAUCAAAUACAGCUGAGAGGCCAAGGGAACUAUCUGGUAAGCCCUAAGUGACAAGCACGUGUACAUUUUUGUUCUCAUUAAAACCUUCCCAGCAGUAGUAUCCACUAAAACUCACGUGAAGAGAUGGCAACUGGUACAUGCUCCAAUCCAGAACUUUGCCGAUGUUCUCAUUCCUCUUGUCCACAAACUGACAUCGUUCCCUUCAAGGGCCAAAUUAACCACUUCUACGAAAUGAUUCUUAACUAAACCCUCUUACCUUAGCCAGCGUCUUGAACUACAUACCUACAACCUUUUAAUUCGCUUUUUUCCCAUCAUUGCAUUGCCAUUUCACAUGAUUGUUUCCCACUCAUACGUUUUUGGCACAGCAACCAUUCAGACUGCUGGUGCGAUGCCAUCCUCAGAAGCUCGGCGACAUUUCUUCCUCUUAUUCAAGAGGAUGAAGGGAGGCAGAAAGACACCGUGCCGAGCCUGGGCUCUUCGAACCAGACGCGGUUGAGCUGCCAGGUUUGAGUGGAAACUAUCCAAAUAAUAAAAAUUUAUAUCUGGAGCAGUUUGACCAAGAGACAUGGUCUGUCAUCAGGACUGGAACCUCACUUCAAGGAAAAAUGGAGCCACAGGGGAUACAGCAGUUUGCCCAAGCCGUGAAGCAGGUAAGUGGUGAAGCCAGGAUUCAAACUCAUUAGCUCCAGAGGUCACUCUCAACCUGGAUUAUGACUUACCACCUCUCUUAUCAGUCAUCCCAACAAAUAAAGCAUCCAAUUCCAGAAAUGAAGACUGACUCUGCACAAUCUUAAGUUCUCUCUGCCCAAGUUAUUCAUCCAUUAACACAAAUUCAAUAGAAACAUGAAAACUGCUAAUGACACAUAUAGGUCCAUAUUAAAUUUAGUCAUAAAAUUACAUCACCUGUUGAAAAACUAAUUUCCUAUUGCACACCAACGAUUAUAUAACACCAAAAGGAAGAGAAAUUUGUUUAAAUUGGGUACGUUAAAAGGAUGUACAUAACAAAAACCAAUAAAUCAAGGAAAUAUUUAGUAUUUUAGUAUACACCAAAAUGUUUAUC